ACUAUCAAUUGAUGAUGAGGACCAUUGUGUGAAUGUCUUGAAGGUAUUUUUUUAUCACUAAUCUUGAACCAGUGAAGGCGAUUGAAUUUGUAAACUCUACCAUUCUUACCUGCAGGUUUUAUGAAGGUGUUGUGCAACCUUAUAACCCAGGAAAGAAGAAACAUGUGAUACUAUAUGAGGAUGGAGAUGUGGAAGUUUUUCAGUUAUAUGAGGAGUAGGGGGAGGUUAUUGGUGAAGGUUCCGAUCCUAGCAAGUGACUUAAAUCAUCAAAUGUUUCCCCAUCCAAAGGAAUGCUUGAGCAGCUGCAGAUGUUGUCAGUCCCACUGAUAUGUGUUGCAACAAUUCGAGUAGCUUUGGAUGCAGCAGGUUUCCCUGACAUGUCUAUCAUGUCGUGUACAGCUAAUUAAUUCUUUUUCCAUUUCCUUAUGAUCAGACUGCAUGUUGGCUAAAUGUGUUAACAUUGCUCAGAUUUGUAGAAGAAAUAAAUGGGGAUUGAAGUCUAUAAUUGUAGAAGAAAUGAAAAAAGAAAUAAGAGAAAAGUGAAUCUAGCAAGCUAGAGAAGGUUCAUAGGUGAUUGCUUGUUAGAGAAUGUCAGCUAGAUCA